UACGGAGGGUGCAAGCGUUAUCCGGAUUUAUUGGGUUUAAAGGGUGCGUAGGCGGCCUAUUAAGUCAGGGGUGAAAGACGGUAGCUUAACUAUCGCAGUGCCUUUGAUACUGAUAGGCUUGAAUGUACUUGAGGUAGGCGGAAUGUGACAAGUAGCGGUGAAAUGCAUAGAUAUGUCACAGAACACCAAUUGCGAAGGCAGCUUACUAAAGUAUGAUUGACGCUGAGGCACGAAAGCGUGGGGAUCAAACAGG
rnacentral:rRNA from 1 species